UUUAAAUUUAGUUAAAUAUUUUUUUUCAAUAUUUGAUCGUCUGUAUUAUUUAAAAUUUUUAUGAUUAGUAUUUUAUUAUUGUUAGAUGAUAAAAUAUAAAUAGUAUUUUAUGCUUGACUUAUUUUUUAUUUUUUUAUAAUUUUUUAAAAUAAUAUAGACGGUUAAACGUUGGAAAAAACCGAUAAUUACAUUUAAA
rnacentral:pre_miRNA from 1 species